rnacentral:misc_RNA from 1 species
GAAAUGCGAUAAGUAAUGUGAAUUGCAGAAUUCAGUGAAUCAUCGAAUCUUUGAACGCACAUUGCGCCCGGCAGUAUUCUGCCGGGCAUGCCUGUUCGAGCGUCAUUUGUACCCUCAAGCUCUGCUUGGUGUUGGGUGUUUGUCCCGUCUCCGCGCGUGGACUCGCCCCAAAGUGAUUGGCAGCCGGCGUACUGGUCCCGGAGCGCAGCACAUGUCGCGCAAACGAGUGCCUUGGUACGGCGGCGUCCAUAAGCCCCUCUCUCACGCUCUUGACCUCGGAUCAGGUAGGGAUACCCGCUGAACUUAAGC